rnacentral:rRNA from 1 species
UACAGAGGUGGCAAGCGUUGUUCGGAAUUACUGGGCGUAAAGGGCGCGUAGGUGGCCUUCUUAGUCAGACGUGAAAUCCCCGGGCUUAACUCGGGAACUGCGUCUGAUACUGGAAGGCUCGAGUUCGGGAGAGGAAUGUGGAAUUCCAGGUGUAGCGGUGAAAUGCGUAGAUAUCUGGAGGAACACCGGUGGCGAAGGCGGCAUCCUGGACCGGUAUUGACGCUGAGGAGCGAAAGCCAGGGGAGCAAACGGG